AAGUCGUAACAAGGUAUCCGUAGGUGAACCUGCGGAUGGAUCAUUAUCAAAACGUUAUCCACGUAUAAACCAAUCUUAGUUGAACCGUUUGUAUGCCUUUGAGGAUGAGUAAGAAAGGGUCAUUCGUGGCUCCGGUAUUACUUGGAAUCGAAGCGUAUCAUUACUUCAUAUACUAUUAACCAAUUGAACCAUUUCUAUUUGAAAUUGUUUUUAUAUUCUUUGUGUGAACUGAAUUGUUUCUUACUCUUCACUUCGGUGGAUAGAAGAAAUUUAUUUACGAAACAAAAAGUAAAAAGAACAACUCUUAGCAACGGAUAUCUUGGUUCUC
rnacentral:misc_RNA from 1 species